rnacentral:rRNA from 1 species
UGCCUUUGUAGCAAUACGAGGGUAUCCUAGUGGCGAACGGGUGAGUAACGCGUUGGUGACCUGCCCCAAAGUGUGGGAUAACAGUUCGAAAGGACUGCUAAUACCGCAUGUGGUCAUCGGAUUUAGAAACCGAUGUCUAAAGCAGUAAUGCGCUUUGGGAGGGACCUGCGUCCCAUCAGCUAGUUGGUGAGGUAACGGCCCACCAAGGCGACGACGGGUAGGGGACCUGAGAGGGUGGCCCCCCACAAUGGAACUGAAACACGGUCCAUACACCUACGGGUGGCAGCAGUAGGGAAUAUUGCACAAUGGGCGAAAGCCUGAUGCAGCAACGCCGCGUGCACGAAGAAGGUCUUCGGA